CAGCCCUAAACGAUGCGCGUUAGGUGUAUCGGUGACCACGAGUCACCGAGGUGCCGAAGGGAAACCGUGAAACGUGCCGCCUGGGAAGUACGGUCGCAAGGCUGAAACUUAAGGAUUGGCGGGGGAGCACCACAACGGGUGGAGCCUGCGGUUUAAUUGGACUCAACGCCGGGAAGCUCACCGGAUAAGACAGCGGAAUGAUUGCCGGGCUGAAGACCCUGCAUGACCAGCUGAGAGGAGGUGCAUGGCGUCAGUGACU
rnacentral:rRNA from 1 species